GGAAAGAUGCGAGAGCGGUCGAAUCGGGCGGUCUCGAAAACCGUUAAACUCUUUUAAGGGUUUCGGGGGUUCGAAUCCCCCUCUUUCCG
rnacentral:tRNA from 1 species